UUACGGCCAUAUCAAAAAGAAAUGUCAGUUCUCGGACGAGCACCGGUUAAGCAACAUCGAGCCUGGUCAGUACCUAGAUGGGUGACCGCUCGGGAAUACCAGGUGCUGUAUG